AGAGUUUGAUCCUGGCUCAGAAUGAACGCUGGCGGCGUGCUUAACACAUGCAAGUCGCACGAGAAAGCUUCUGCUUGCAGAGGCGAGUAAAGUGGCGCACGGGUGAGUAACACGUGGGUAACCUACCUUCGAAUCGGGGAUAACGUUGCGAAAGCGACGCUAAUACCGGAUGACAUCUCAAGGUCCUCGGAUUUUGGGAUCAAAGACGGCCUCUACACGAAAGCUGUUGUUCGAAGAGAAGCCCGCGUACCAUUAGCUAGUUGGCAGGGUAACGGCCUACCAAGGCGACGAUGGUUAGCUGGUCUGAGAGGAUGGCCAGCCACACUGGAACUGACACACGGUCCAGACUCCUACGGGAGGCAGCAGUGAGGAAUUUUGCGCAAUGGGCGAAAGCCUGACGCAGCAACGCCGCGUGAGUGAUGAAGGCUUUCGGGUCGUAAAGCUCUGUCAAGUGGGAAGAACCUGCAUGCCGUUAAUACCUGCAUGCACUGACGGUACCACCGAAGGAAGCACCGGCUAACUCCGUGCCAGCAGCCGCGGUAAUACGGGGGGUGCUAGCGUUACUCGGAAUUACUGGGCGUAAAGCGCGCGUAGGCGGUCUCUUAAGUCAGAUGUGAAAGCCCGGGGCUCAACUUCGGAAGUGCAUUUGAAACUAAGAGACUUGAGUAUGGGAGAGGGAAGUGGAAUUCCUGGUGUAGCGGUGAAAUGCGUAG
rnacentral:rRNA from 1 species